CGGGUGAGUAACACGUGGAUAACCUACCUAUAAGACUGGGAUAACUUCGGGAAACCGGAGCUAAUACCGGAUAAUAUUUUGAACCGCAUGGUUCAAAAGUGAAAGACGGUCUUGCUGUCACUUAUAGAUGGAUCCGCGCUGCAUUAGCUAGUUGGUAAGGUAACGGCUUACCAAGGCAACGAUGCAUAGCCGACCUGAGAGGGUGAUCGGCCACACUGGAACUGAGACACGGUCCAGACUCCUACGGGAGGCAGCAGUAGGGAAUCUUCCGCAAUGGGCGAAAGCCUGACGGAGCAACGCCGCGUGAGUGAUGAAGGUCUUCGGAUCGUAAAACUCUGUUAUUAGGGAAGAACAUAUGUGUAAGUAACUGUGCACAUCUUGACGGUACCUAAUCAGAAAGCCACGGCUAACUACGUGCCAGCAGCCGCGGUAAUACGUAGGUGGCAAGCGUUAUCCGGAAUUAUUGGGCGUAAAGCGCGCGUAGGCGGUUUUUUAAGUCUGAUGUGAAAGCCCACGGCUCAACCGUGGAGGGUCAUUGGAAACUGGAAAACUUGAGUGCAGAAGAGGAAAGUGGAAUUCCAUGUGUAGCGGUGAAAUGCGCAGAGAUAUGGAGGAACACCAGUGGCGAAGGCGACUUUCUGGUCUGUAACUGACGCUGAUGUGCGAAAGCGUGGGGAUCAAACAGGAUUAGAUACCCUGGUAGUCCACGCCGUAAACGAUGAGUGCUAAGUGUUAGGGGGUUUCCGCCCCUUAGUGCUGCAGCUAACGCAUUAAGCACUCCGCCUGGGGAGUACGACCGCAAGGUUGAAACUCAAAGGAAUUGACGGGGACCCGCACAAGCGGUGGAGCAUGUGGUUUAAUUCGAAGCAACGCGAAGAACCUUACCAAAUCUUGACAUCCUU
rnacentral:rRNA from 1 species